AUAGACGCCUUUCCUAUUACGCUUAACCCUUUCGCUUGGCCAAGUGUAUCUGCGAGUGCCUAUCUGUGUGUGUGCAUCUGUGUGUGUAUGUGCCAAUUCGUGCCAGUGUGUGUGAGCCAGGCUCAUUAUUGCGUGUCAUAAAAGGACAAUUGUCUCGUUUCUCAAUGAAUGUUUUGCUCAAUUAAGAUCUACCUGAGCGGGAGGAAAUGCGGGGAAUUUCCGCAUUACUUUUCCAUUUGUCAAUGCAGCAGUUCCUUUACCUCUUUUAAUUUUUUUGUUGCCUACAUCUAGGCGCAGUACCUAGAAUUUUUCAUAUUAUCAAUGAAAUGGAAUGAAAGCUAUAGCUUGUAGGAGAAAUCACAGUUUUAUGAUCACCCCAUUCCCGUGCAAUUAAAAUGACUAAUAAUCAUGUCAGAUAAAGCCGUUUCCUCUUCACGAAAGCACUACUGAGUAAUAGUUUUAUCAUUCCCAAGAUUAUCUUCAAAUUGCUUGAAAAAUUGUUUACAAUAACCAUGGGUUAGAUAAGAUUGAGAGAUAAGCGAAACUGAAUCAGGAAAAAAUCUUGCGCUAAACAAAAAGGUAUUCAUAAUAUUUAACCUUUUUAACAUUGUUUGGCUUGCCACUCGGAUAUCUGUAUGCCAUCGUGAUGAUCAUUAAACAUCAAACACUUUCGGUGACUGAGCACAUAUGUACUCAAAUCCUUAUGUGCACUUCUAAUAACCGUAAUGUGCUUAAAUAUUUAAUAUUUUUAUUGUAUUUCACAGGCAAUUCAAGUGGCUUUGGCUCAUUAAUGUUUGCCUUGUGGGCGUUGGGUUGAGCGGAAUAUGUCACAUCGGAGGGAUAUGGAUGGCUAGCUUUGGUAUUUAGGGGGCCGUAAGGCCGAACUCUUCGGUAGUUUAUUGAUUUACAAGCUGCGGCACCGUAUCGCAGAUAGAUGCAAGUUUAUGGGUGGCGUCCACUUGGGGUUCUACUACUGGAACCAGAAACCCCAACCCCAAAACCAUAACUACAACUAUAUCACUGUAGCUGGAACUGGAACUGGAACCGACUUAUCGCAGUGGCGUUGUGAUUUUUUGAGUGUCGAAACGCCAAAGCAAAUAUGAUUGGAGUUUUAUUUACUCUGGCCCGUCCGAUUGGGUCUUAAUUACUUCCGAAAACAAUGACAACCGAUGACCAGUGGCGAUACGAGCCCCGUACGCGAGCAUUAAUCAAUUUACAACGAGAUUUAAGCAAUGGCAAUCGGUAAAUAAUAAAAUAAAUACAAUUUGAAUACCGGUUUUGCCAUUUUCUGGCUAUCAUUCAUAAACUUUUGCCCGGCCUGACAUGAAAAUUAGCUCUUCAGCCAAGGCAGACAGCGCAGCGAUCUCCGAGAUCUCGACGAUCGUAGAUCGGAGUCGUCUAAAGCUGGAACUCCGAUCGCUGAAGAGCUCCAGACUCCGGAGUUCGAGUUGGCGAUGGCGAUGGCGAUGGAGAUGGAGACCUGAAGAGCAUGGCUGUUGAUCAUGGUGAUGACUGCGUAAAAACGAAAAGUAAAAACACCAAACUGGCACACAGCUUUGGAUGCUUGAGAUGUGUUGCCCGUUUGUGUUAAUCCCAUCAAGACCCAGCACAUUAUGAAGUAGCAACACCAGCAACAAUAGCAUCAGCACCACCACCAACAGCAUGGAAACAGCACAAACUGGAGCUGCACUGCAAGAAAUGAAGUAUAACAUAUUAUUAGAACCAGUAGAAGCUAAGAACUUUUAGCUAUAGUGUUAGGUCUUGCAAUAUAAACAGUAUUUUACCCACUAAGUUAUACAAAUAAAUAAACUUUUAAAGGGCAAAAUUAAAUGACUUUCAGAAUGAUUUGUUACUCAUGCAUCACAUAUGUAGGCCACACCAGAUAGACCCAUAUUAUUCUCCCUGUGCAAGCUGAAGCUGCGACUGGAGUCCCAAGCUGGAGUUGGAGCUGCAUGUGGUGAGUGCUCAUGUGCUCCAUUGGAGGCUCCAUCUCCAUCUCUACAUCAACGGCACAAGUGACAUAAGUGGCGCUUACCCGAUGAUGCGUGCGCAUCCAACGAGCAGCCAAAAGUCAGUCCGGAGCUCCGCAGUCCGCAGUCCGCUUGUCUUCAUCGUUUUGUAAGAGUCAUCUCAUCAUUUUCGCCCGUCGCCAUCUGGUUGCGAGUUGGCCCGACUGAUAAGAACGUGUUAGGGUGUACCAUGGAGUUGUUAAAUGCAGCACCGCAUCGUCGUGUGUGGUCCGCCGUCGAUGGCGCUUGAUAAGAGAAUUUUGGAUGUUGUAUUCGAUCCAUGGAUCGUACGCCGGACUGCGACUGCGACUGGCGGCUGCUCUCCUGGUUUUUGGUAUUUGGUUUUUGGCCCGGUCUAACCAUGACGUGACGGGCGGCUGACGUGCCAAGUGCCAUCGAAAAUGGCAAGUCAUUGGCAUUUCAACUGGACAUGCGGCACCCUUGUUAGCCCGAGCUGUCUCUGCCUCCUCUGUGGUUCCAACUCUCUGACUUGGACCUUAUACUCAUAUCUGGCAGUGACUGAACAUCCUUCGACGCAUAACGGGCAGCACAGGAUAAAAAUCCUCUACCCUCCCCCCCUCAUCGAAUGACGCAGCAAUCGAAGCGAAAGCGUUAAUUUAAUAAUGGCCAAAUUUGUGACUGCAAGUCGGUUACAAUAAUUUGCUGCUAUAAGGAAAAUGUGUGGCACCUUUCCGGCACGGGGGAUGUGUUUGUUUUCCUGGUCGCUGCUGCCCAUAAUUGUUACACUCGGCUGCACCAAAGUCAAAGCUACAAAGUCAAUGACAUCCAGAGCAAACAGCCCAGAAGUGCGGCAAAACUGAAAGUUUGAAUCAAUCGAUAAGUGAAAGGAGGUAAAACUCACAGGAAUAUGCCAGGAACUAAGGCAGAAGUCUAUGAAUAAAAAUAUUAAGAACUAUAUAGACUUAACAAAAAUGCUUAAAUCAUUAAAUUUUUAUACAAAAAAGUAAAUAUGAAGAUGUCUCAGUACGCAAUAAAGAAAAGUGUAGAACGCAAAUUUCCCUUUCGCUAAAAAUCAAGUGGCACUAAAACACAAAGCCUUUUAUGGCCGGCCACAAUAAUUUGCUGGACAAACAAAGAUCCGCCACUUCAUAAAUAGUUUGCACUUGACAGCUACUGCAGCAGAAGCCGUUGAUUUGAUUCCCUGCCCCAAACCCCAAGCCCCAAGUCCCGAUCCCCAAUAUUCAUUCGAGCCCUGAAGUUCUGGUGUGAAGUUCUUGUGAUUCACUCGGUGCGUCGGUGCGAAAUCAAAGAGAUCUCCGGCCAGGCGGCGGCCAAAAGCAUCAUAAAAAGGUGGCACCUUGUGUCCACCAGCAGAGUUCAUUGAUUUUCUGUUCUUGGGGCAACUCAAUCAAAAAUCCAAAACGAAGCCCAAGAAGAGAACAGGAAUCUGGCAGCAUAAAACCAAACGAAGAACUUGGGAAAACGCGCACGGCGGUGGCACUCUAUUAGCACCUCUAAAGCACAAUUUACAACAAACAUUUACAACUGUCAAUUGGCAACAAAGCCGGCGAAGGGUACAUCUGAUGGCCAACGAAGAGAUCGUCCAGAAAUUAAGGAUACAGGUCAGCCGACAAGGCACAAAGGCACCGCCCCGCCGGUUUUUAGGGAUCUCGAUGAGAUGAUUUUUCGGGAACUGGCCGCUGACGAAUUGCCGGCAAUUAGUUAGCAUUAAACAACAACUAAUGGGUGCCAUUGAUGAGGACGUGCAUCAAGAACCUUUCAAUAACACACAUAACAAAUACGAGUAUAUAUGAAUGCACCACAAGGCACACAAUCGUCGUAUCUGUCACGGCGUACAUACAUACGGUUUUAAAAACGAAAUUAAUAAAAAUUUCACUUGAAUUGACAAAGUGCCCGAACGCCGUGACGUUCAACUGACGACAAGUGCCACUUGACAAGCUGCCGAACUUGAAAUUUUUUUUCAUUUCAAUAUUUCAUUGUUACCCCCGGCAAAUAACCGGCAUAUAACCGACAUAUACCCGGCAUAUAGAAGUCUGACUCCUGGUCUGGCUCGAUUUGCUUGAUUCGCUCGAUGAGUUACCUGUCCGCCAGCCUCGUCCCACAGCUGGCGAUUAAUCUUGACAUUGAGUUGCUGCAGAGACAGAUGCAAAGACAAUGGCCCACUGGCAUAUAUACAUAUAUAUAUAAAUUCGAUUUCUCGACCAUACAUAGCUGUUGACAAUAAAUAAUUUAGCCAUCUAUAAUGGCCCGCUGAUGAGUGCUGUUUUGGCCUGUGAGAAGGUGACGCUUCCACAGUUUUCCAGUUUUCCCACCGCCGAUUGCAUGCGAGAUUGAGAUCAUUAUUCAUGGCGGUUCACGUGCAGAGCACGCGGCCGUUGGAAGGACAAGUGCCAGGACUCGGACUCGUAAUCCAGGACAUGUAAUGUGGAUGUGCGAGCAAAUAGAUUCCCAGGCCGCUUGAACUGGUGCUUCACGACAAGUGCGGGUCAUCAUAAUCAUGGGCAUCAUCAUCGCCCUUAUUACAAUCGACCGCAACUACUUUAAUUACACUGUUAGCCGCAGGCAAACUACACUGGCCAACACAAACUUGGGGCAGUAGAUCUGAAAGUACUCAGCUUUUUAUAAUGUAUCAAUGAACAUUUUACAAACGAUAUUCAGAUAAACGCUCUUUAUUAUUGCAAAAUAUUAGAAUAUCUUUUGGGAUAUUAAUAAAUUUAUAUUAUAAUACUGCAUAGUGAUAUACAGAAAGCUAAGGAAUUCUAGUUGUGCAAAUAAAGAUUUUAUAUAUACAUA